rnacentral:lncRNA from 1 species
CAGCGCCCAAAGGAAACGGGCGCGCCAGGGUUUGCUGGAACCGGGGUUGCUUAGGGGUUCUCGCCCCGUCUAGUCCGAGACUGCUGAGCACCUCGCCCCCGGGGGACCAAGCUCAGGCCUCCUGGCACUAGUGGUUAUAAAGAGGUGUUCCACGUGGCCAUAGCGUUUGCGUCACAAUGACCUGGCGGACAGGUGGGAGCCACAGCGUACACCCCAGGGUUCCCUCUGUGCUGUGCGUAGUGCCUACUGCUUGCUUCCAGGUUAAAUUUCUGUAGCUUUAGAGGACAGGAGACUUCAUGACUUCACUGCCAAGAAAAGUUACAGAGGCCUGCUGUACCUGGAAAUCAAGUUUGAGCUUCGAGAAUAAAGGUCAUGUUUUAAAA